rnacentral:rRNA from 1 species
AGCUUGACUGCGAGCGUGACGGCGCGAGCAGGUGCGAAAGCAGGUCAUAGUGAUCCGGUGGUUCUGAAUGGAAGGGCCAUCGCUCAACGGAUAAAAGGUACUCCGGGGAUAACAGGCUGAUACCGCCCAAGAGUUCAUAUCGACGGCGGUGUUUGGCACCUCGAUGUCGGCUCAUCACAUCCUGGGGCUGAAGUAGGUCCCAAGGGUAUGGCUGUUCGCCAUUUAAAGUGGUACGCGAGCUGGGUUUAGAACGUCGUGAGACAGUUCGGUCCCUAUCUGCCGUGGGCGCUGGAGAACUGAGGGGGGCUGCUCCUAGUACGAGAGGACCGGAGUGGACGCAUCACUGGUGUUCGGGUUGUCAUGCCAAUGGCACUGCCCGGUAGCUAAAUGCGGAAGAGAUAAGUGCUGAAAGCAUCUAAGCACGAAACUUGC